rnacentral:rRNA from 1 species
GUGACCUCAAAUCAGGUAGGACUACCCGCUGAACUUAAGCAUAUCAAUAAGCGGAGGAAAAGAAACUAACAAGGAUUCCCCUAGUAACUGCGAGUGAAGCGGGAAAAGCUCAAAUUUAAAAUCUGGCAGUCUUUGGCUGUCCGAGUUGUAAACUAGAGAAGUGUUAUCCGCGCUGGACCGUGUACAAGUCUCCUGGAAUGGAGCGUCAUAGAGGGUGAGAAUCCCGUCUUUGACACGGACUACCAGGGCUUUGUGAUGCGCUCUCAAAGAGUCGGGUUGUUUGGGAAUGCAGCUCAAAAUGGGUGGUAAAUUCCAUCUAAAGCUAAAUAUUGGCGAGAGACCGAUAGCGAACAAGUACCGUGAGGGAAAGAUGAAAAGAACUUUGGAAAGAGAGUUAAACAGUACGUGAAAUUGCUGAAAGGGAAACGCUUGAAGUCAGUCGCGUUGUCCAGGGAUCAACCUUGCUUUUGCUUGGUGUACUUUCUGGUUGACGGGUCAGCAUCAAUUUUGACUAUUGGAAAAAGAUUAGGGGAAUGUGACAUCUUCGGAUGUGUUAUAGCCCUUGGUUGCAUACAAUGGUUGGGAUUGAGGAACUCAGCACGCCGCAAGGCCGGGUAAUUUUACCACGUACGUGCUUAGGAUGCUGGCAUAAUGGCUUUAAUCGACCCGUC